AGGCCGGGCCACCCGCCCGGAAAAGGCUCUGGUUGGGUGAGGAGCAGUCCCGUAGGAGGGCACGCCGGGCCAGAGCCCCGCUCCGGCCCUACCUUCCCUGCAGAGGUUCCUCGCAGAUCCCCGGGGACGGUGCCCGCCCUUUCUACGCACCCACUGGGCGCAAGGGUCAGAGACCCACCCGCUUCCCAGCCCCGGCCACGCAUUCUCAAGAGGCAGCCGCGGGGACGGGCCAAGCGGGCAGACCCUUAUCCCGGCUGCUUUGCGCUGACUGCGAGAGCAGGUAAAUCGCGGGCGACUUCCCAGCGUUCUGUCCCUCUAAGGGAUCCGCUAAAGUGCCUGUGUGUAACGAGAAGGCAAGGAUCAGCCACGGAGCUCGAGGAGGACUCAGCCUUUUCAAGUGUGUGGAACCUAAAAGGUUGGAACAACUAGAAACAGCGUCCAGAGGCGGAAGCCGAAGAACGGGAAUUCCCUCCUGACACUGGCUGUCUUUUGCCAUUUGAACCUUUCACUUACUCAGCAUCUCACCCAGACCCCCCAAUAAGUGACUUUUUUUUUUAAAGAUUUUAUUUAUUCAUUUGACAGAGAUCACAAGUAGGCGGAGAGGCAGGCAGAGAGAGAGGAGGAAGCAGGCUCCCUGCCGAGCAGAGAGCCCGAUCCGGGCUCGAUCCCAGGAUCCUGGGAUCAUGACCUGAGCUGAAGGCAGAGGCUUUAACCCACUGAGCCACCCAGGCGCCCCCAAUAAGUGACUUUUUUAUGGACAGUUGAUGUUAGUUAAGCUUUGGUGAGCCUGGAACAGGAGACUAAACCGAAGUCCUCUCGCACCUAAGCCCACUAGAGGGCAGGGCUACACCUGCUGAGUUCGACGCGCCCGCCACAAAGAACUGUAAAGACCGCAGGAGUCCUCCCUUGUGUGCUAGAGGUAUUUUUCUCCAUCAACACCUACUCUCAUUAAAAAGCUUGCCCUCUAUCUCAGGUUCUGUAACACUUCCGGAUAUGUUCUCUGACCACUGGUUCAACGUCAAAAUAAACAAAUGCACUGGG